CCUACGGGAGGCUGCAGUGAGGAAUAUUGGUCAAUGGACGAGAGUCUGAACCAGCCAAGUAGCGUGAAGGAUGACUGCCCUAUGGGUUGUAAACUUCUUUUAUGAAGGAAUAAAACGAGGCACGUGUGCCUUUUUGCAGGUACUUUAUGAAUAAGGAUCGGCUAAUUCCGUGCCAGCAGCCGCGGUAAUACGGAGGAUCCGGGCGUUAUCCGGAUUUAUUGGGUUUAAAGGGAGCGCAGAUGGGUUCUUAAGUGAGUUGUGAAAUUUUGUGGCUCAACCGUAAAAUUGCAAUUGAUACUGGCAGGCUUGAGUACAGCUGAGGUAGGCGGAAUUCGUGGUGUAGCGGUGAAAUGCUUAGAUAUCACGAAGAACCCCGAUUGCGAAGGCAGCUUACUAUACUGUGACUGACACUGAUGCUCGAAGGUGUGGGUAUCAAACAGGAUUAGAUACCCGGGUAGUC
rnacentral:rRNA from 1 species